rnacentral:rRNA from 1 species
CAGCCGCCGCGGGAAUACGAAGGGGGCUAGCGUUGUUCGGAAUUACUGGGCGUAAAGCGCACGUAGGCGGAUACUUAAGUUAGGGGUGAAAUCCCAGGGCUCAACCCUGGAACUGCCUUUAAUACUGGGUAUCUUGAGUUCGAGAGAGGUAAGUGGAAUUCCGAGUGUAGAGGUGAAAUUCGUAGAUAUUCGGAGGAACACCAGUGGCGAAGGCGGCUUACUGGCUCGAUACUGACGCUGAGGUGCGAAAGCGUGGGGAGCAAACAGGAUUAGAUACCCGAGUAGUCCCUGUCUCUUAUAC